CAGGCCUAACACAUGCAAGUCGAACGGUAACAGGAAUAAGCUUGCUUCUUCGCUGACGAGUGGCGGACGGGUGAGUAAUGUCUGGGAAACUGCCUGAUGGAGGGGGAUAACUACUGGAAACGGUAGCUAAUACCGCAUAACGUCGCAAGACCAAAGAGGGGGACCUUCGGGCCUCUUGCCAUCGGAUGUGCCCAGAUGGGAUUAGCUAGUAGGUGGGGUAAAGGCUCACCUAGGCGACGAUCCCUAGCUGGUCUGAGAGGAUGACCAGCCACACUGGAACUGAGACACGGUCCAGACUCCUACGGGAGGCAGCAGUGGGGAAUAUUGCACAAUGGCCGCAAGCCUGAUCAACCCUUGCCGCGGGUAUGAAAAGGCCUUCGGGUGUAAAGUACUUUCAGCGGGGAGAGAGGGAAUAAA
rnacentral:rRNA from 1 species